rnacentral:lncRNA from 1 species
GUGAUCGUCGAGAUCAUUGGGCGAGCUUAAAGGACGACAUCAUCAUCAAUCUACUUGACGAACCACGUUCGCUGACAGAUCAGCAACUCAACAAGCUUUGGCCUCGACGUCAGGGCGGUUUGGAUUUCGUGUUCCGUUCGGUCUGACGAAAUACGCAUCUGUCCCAAGUUGCUGACUCUGGAUCGAGUUUGAAGCAGAAAAGAAUUGGCCAAAGUGACCACAUGCGAUGACACCGUGCAGCUAGGCGCGCGGGCUAAUUCCAAGAGUGCUACGACAGGAAGGUGUCGCACGCGGUUG